CAGAAUAUAGCUAAACCAGAAUAGCAUCUCCCUUACACCGAGAAAGUAUCCGUGCAAAUCGGAUUAUCCUGA
rnacentral:tRNA from 7 species